UUUUUAGAAACACCAAAAAAGGGGUGUUGAAAAAGACUCAGGGGGUGCACCCAGUGAUGUUGUAAUGGGAUUUUUGGAAUGAGUUUUAGUCCAAUUGAGAAAUCAGUGGGAAAGAGAGACUUUGUCUCUCACUUCGUAACCUCCAUCUCCUUUUACUCUCUCUUACUCUUCGGUCAUAUGACACACCGAAAAUCGUCCCGCCGCGCCAGAGGCGGUGGGGCUCUACCAAUCUCGUGAUUUCUCCUACAAUUAUGACUUUCUCCCCGUGUUCUACCCAACCCGUACGUUCUUGUUUUUCCAGAAACUAAUAAAUCUCUCUAAUUUUGCCCAGAACCCAAAACCCUGAGAAAUUUUCAUGUAAAAUUAAAUAACAAACAUGCCAUGAUUUAAGCUACAACCUCAGGGUUAUCAAUCAACAACAGAAGUACUACAACAUGGUAUCAAGAAAAGGAAGAAACAGUGAAGAAUGAAAGGGAGUUCGAAGGCUUACCUACAAAGUUGAGAUGCGCUCUGGUGGUUGUUGAAGUAAGUUGAAGAUGAAAAGCAAAGAAACCAGAGAGGAGAUUCCAAAUGCUCGUGUUUGGCCAAGUAUGAUGCACAUGCCGAGUAAAUUGAAGAAAAUAAGAAAAUUGGAAGUGAAUCAUAAUGAAGAUGCUAAAUUAAAGAGAGAUUGGUCUAGGAAUAUAUUUUAGGUCAAAGGUCAAAGUUUGUUCAAUUGUUGAUCCAAAAUUGGGUGUUCAUGUAUUUUCAUUUUUGAUUUUAUUUGUAAUGUAUUCUAACACUUGAAUGUAAGUGGUCCUUGACUUGUCUUAUGUAUGCAAUAAGAUACUUUAAUUUC